CAUGCAAACUCCACACACACAAGGCGGAGACAGGAAUCGAACCCCGACCCUGGAGGAAACCUCUCGGUGUAAUUGCACAGCCCCGUCAUUGUCAUGCUAUUGAUAGAGGUAUGAAUCAAAACCUGAAAAAAAAGUAUCCAAGAGGUUGUUAUUGGUUCUGCCAAGGAAGACUUUAUGGAGGCUUACAUCAAAAAAAAUUCUAGGAUAAAAGACUUUUUACUGACAAUUACUGUUCUUGUUUUGCAUAGUGAAGAUUCAAUAGCAGGAAAAAUAGCAAAAAAAUGUUAAGUAAAUUCUUGUCUCAAGCAAUUCUGCCAGAUGUAAGAGUGAUAACUAAAUGAUUAGCAAGCAUAGACAAUUUGUUUGUAUACUUGCUUGUUAUGUCUCUGUGUAUAAACUGUAUACAAUUGGAUAACUUUAGAAUGUUGUCUUCAUGAUUUGAAUUUUCUCCACAUGUAUUCCUGCAAUUAAGCAAAACUCAACCACCCUGAUCAUGUUUUGUUGGUUUAAAUUUCUUAGAUUUUGUGACUGUUUUGUUUCCAUGCUCUGUUCUUUCUGCAGUGCCUAUUAGUGUAAAGUUGAAUUUGUGUGUGCAGCUGCAAACAAUUUCUGUCCUAUCCUAGCACAUAGACUCGAGCAUAUAACUGUGUGCAUUCAUCUGUAUUUGCAGACGUCUUUCAACACUUUCACUGGCCAAUGGAAUACCAGCUACACUUGAGGCCCUCUCCAGACUAGGUGUUAUUUAGUGCACAUAUGGCCUUGAUUCUUAACUAAAUUCAUGUACAGCAUAUACAUAUACCAUUAAAAGCCUGGAGUGUACGAGUUAUUCUUUUACCAGGGAAAGGAUAGAAAGACGUUUGCACAUACACAUGAAUGAGCAAAUGUAUAUGCUCAGGUAUACGGAAUGCAUGUAGAAGAUCCUUGACAAAGAUCCGGCUACAUCUAUCCAAACACGUACAAUUAAUUGGAUUCUCGAACAAUGAAGGAAAUAAAGAAAAACCCUUAACACUGAUCAAUGUAAGUGGCAAAUGUCGAUACUAAUUUAUGUGACUUUUUAUCAUUAGCCAGUACAAGAAUGUUGCUUACUUUAUUGAAUAUAAAACAGUUUUUAUAUAUAAGACCUAUCAAAAUAUCAGAAAUAUCAAAUGAAUAUAUCUAUUAGCAGAACAUGGAGUUAUUAAAAUAACAAGUUAAUGUUAUACAUGUUAUAGCAUUAUAUGCUGCUUCUAUGCCAGUUUUAUUUGAAGAGUACAUUAGGAUUUUAAAACACAUUCAUAACCAUGUAUGGGCCCCAAUGUUUCUUAUUGAAGAAAUAAGCAUUAAUUAGUAUUAGUAAUUACUAAUCAGUAUUACCCUCCUGGCAAACCUAUGAGAUAACAAACAUUUUUAUAACCUACACUGCUUUGUCAUUAAAUGAAACCGAAAGAGACUGCUGUAUCUGUAAAUAUGCUUUAAAUCUUAUCUUGGAAAUUAAUGUUUCAUUUUUACUGUUACCUGUUACUACAUUCAUGAAGUAUUUAUUUCUUGAUGUUCUUUUGAAAUGGUUGCUCUUCGAAUCAGUCCAUUUUGACAAAAGGGUAAGACAUGCUUCUAUAGAAUUGAAUAGAAAGAUAUUUUCUUCACCUAAACAAUAUUCAAAACUUUGCAGGUUUCAAUAAUGUAUCAUACAAUAAUGUAUCAUAAUGUUUCAGUAAUGACAAGCUUAGAAAAGUUGUAUUUUGAAUUCACAUUCAAAAUACUGUACCAAAUAGAUCUAAAAUCAGCCUAUAUUCAAAAAAAUUUGCUAGUGAAGAGGUACUGUAUGUGUUCAAUAUACAGUAUGAGCUAAAAAAAAAAUCCACAUUAGUUUUCUUGGUCUUAAGGCAUUGGCCACGUGCUUCUUAAGGCAUGAGUAAGUAUUUUGUCUUUGCAUCAACUUAAAGAUAUGGCUUAAUCAAUGACAGGUUUAGCAACAACUGAUUUGUGGUCAUUAUGUCUUUUACACAGCGACUUUGAUUUGGUCCUUCUCUAAAGCAGUCUUUGGCAGAGCAGGGUUGGGCAAUUGAAUUAAUCUCACUCUGUGAAAGUGAGUAACACCUUGGAGCUUUUCUAUUCAAUAAAAGCCCUUUCAUUUACUCAUCAUGCUCUCUUUAUCAUUCAUUCUUCAGUUAACCUUUUUUAUUUUCUCACUUAAACUGAAGGAGGAGGAAUGACUGAAGGAAUGUUGAAGAGGGUAGCAAAAAGCGUGCCUUCAUCAUGAAUUAGUUUGAAAACAUGUUGAAUUUUCUUAAUUAUACCUGUAUAGCAGUAUUACUGAAAUCCAAAGAAAUAAUGCUGUGCAUUUUAAGCAUAUAUGUCCAUAUAUUGUUGCACUGCCUUAUACAUUUAUUCCAAGAUC